ensembl:snRNA U6 U6 spliceosomal RNA
GUGCUUGCUCUGGUAGCAUAUAUACUAAAAUUGGAAUGAUACAGAGAAGAUUAGCACAACUCCUGGGCAAGAAUAACACACAAAUUUGUGAAGCAUUCCAUAUUUUU